GUGCCAGCCGCCGCGGUAAUACCGGCAGCCCAAGUGAUGUCCCAUCUUAUUGGGCCUAAAGCGUCCGUAGCUGGCUGCGCAAGUCCCUCGGGAAAUCCACCCGCCCAACGGGUGGGCGUCCGGUAGAAACUGGCCAGCUUGGAACCGGAAGGCUCAGAGAGUACGUUCGGGGUAGGAGUGAAAUCCCAUAAUCCCGGACGGACUACCGAUGGCGAAAGCACUCUGAGAAGACGGCUUCGACAGUGAGGGACGAAAGCUCGGGUCUCCAACCGGAUUAGAAACCCGGGUAGUCC
rnacentral:rRNA from 1 species